UACGGGAGGCAGCAGUGGGGAAUAUUGCACAAUGGGCGCAAGCCUGAUGCAGCCAUGCCGCGUGUAUGAAGAAGGCCUUCGGGUUGUAAAGUACUUUCAGCGAGGAGGAAGGCGACAAGGUUAAUAACCUUGUCGAUUGACGUUACUCGCAGAAGAAGCACCGGCUAACUCCGUGCCAGCAGCCGCGGUAA
rnacentral:rRNA from 1 species